rnacentral:rRNA from 1 species
UAGUGAGUUUGAUCCUGGCUCAGGAUGAACGCUGGCGGUAUGCUUAACACAUGCAAGUCGAACGGGGUCCUUCGGGACCUAGUGGCGGACGGGUGAGUAACGCGUGAGAAACUGCCCCUUGGACCGGGACAACAGCUGGAAACGGCUGCUAAAACCCGGAUGUGCCGAAAGGUGAAAUAUUCAUAGCCAGGGGAUGUGCUCGCGUCAGAUUAGCUAGUUGGUGGGGGUAAUGGCCCACCAAGGCGACGAUGCAUACGCCGACCUGAGAGGGUGAUCGGCCACGACUGGGACUGACGACACGG